rnacentral:rRNA from 1 species
CCUACGGGUGGCAGCAGUGGGGAAUAUUGGACAAUGGGCGAAAGCCUGAUCCAGCCAUGCCGCGUGUGUGAAGAAGGCCUUCGGGUUGUAAAGCACUUUCAGUGGGGAAGAAAGCCUUGGGGCUAAUACCCUCGAGGAAGGACAUCACCCACAGAAGAAGCACCGGCUAACUCCGUGCCAGCAGCCGCGGUAAUACGGAGGGUGCGAGCGUUAAUCGGAAUUACUGGGCGUAAAGCGCGCGUAGGCGGUCUGAUAAGCCGGUUGUGAAAGCCCCGGGCUCAACCUGGGAACGGCAUCCGGAACUGUCAGGCUAGAGUGCAGGAGAGGAAGGAUGAAUUCCCGGUGUAGCGGUGAGAUGCGUAGUGGUCGGGAGGAAUACCAGUGGAGAAGGAGGCCUUCUGGGCUGACACUGACGCUGAGGUGCGAAAGCGUGAGUAGCGAACAGGAUUAGAUACCCCGGUAGU